CAUUAAAACUGCAUCUUUCAGACAUGAUGCCUGUUUCAUAUGCUUCAAAGCAGAACGUAGGAUAAACUUCAGUAUAACCUUUCAUUCAGUUUUACAGAAUAAAUUUGUAUUAAUUAACCAGCACAUAAAUGAAAUUCAUUCCACGGUGCUGUGGCCAAGGACAAUAGAUUUAUAGCAAUGAUUCAUUCAAGUCCCCUCCCCACCUAAAAAAUCAUUAUAUAAAUCAAUAUUAUAUAAAAGAGAGUUGGAAUAAUCAUUGAAUUAGGAAUUUUCAACCUCAUUUAAAAUAAGUCAUCCUAGAGACCAGUUCUCAAGUAAAGCUUUUGUCUUUUCCAUGCCACAGCCUCAACAGAAAAGACUUCAGACUUUUCUUCCAUCUGGAGCAGACAAUGCUCAUUGGUCACUGAGCUCAUCAGAGUCAUCAAAAACAACCUGAGAAUCUAAAACGUCACAAAAAAGAUCCUCAAAGAAUUAUCAGCUGAUAUUUUGCUUGGCUGAAGACAUACAGAACUUCUCUUUGGUUAUCUGGAUUGGUAAACAAAAGGCACAUUGACUGCAAUGGAUUGAAAACACUCAUCUCUGCAGCAGAAGCAAUCUGGCAUACCCUGGUGCAUGUCUUUGGAGACAUAUGACCCCGGACAUAUUUUGGAUGGAUCAGCAAAUUAUCAGGAGAAUAACAGAAGUGGUAAUAUAGAGCCACCAGCUUAUCAGUUGCUAGUUCAAAUUUGGCUAAGUCAUGUCUGACGGCUUCAGUUUCAUGACUAUAUGAUCUGACCUGCUCAAAGCCUUUCAUGUAAUUUGUUGCUGAUUGCAAUCCAGGUCCCAGAGGAGCUGUGUCCAAGUCACAACAGAGAUCACUCUAAUUGACAUUAAGUGUCAGUUUCCUUGGCAGGCAUGGAUGGCAGGUCAAGGAUUAACUACAGCCUGAAGACUGAAUUCCUUUCACAAGAAACAGUGUUGACAAAGGAUACUUUGAGUGCUUCAGGGGAAGUCUCAUCUUUCGGCUUUUGUGAAAGAUUAGAUCAUUUAUAUCAGCAACAUGUUAAUUACCACAUAGUUCAUCCAGAAAUACAUUACAUUUUAGGAGAUAAAAUCACCUGCCCUCAUACACACAAUGAUAUCUUCUGAUUUUGAAUCACUGUUUUUUUUUACCUGAGAUGUUCCCCAAAAUCUAUUUUCUCAGUUUUUUGUUUCAAAUAUUUUCUUUGAAAUAUGUCUUAAGCUUUUUUCUCAUUUACUAGGAUCUUGGAAGUCACAUUAUGGGGAUUACUACAGUAUGCUUAUGUACAAUGCUUUUGUACUUUCAUCUAAAUAUGUAAUAUAUUGAAGAGAAGUUAUUUACAUUGAAGAUCUCAUGUAUAUAUUGUCACAUUCUUUAUAAGUUCAUACACUUUGAAAUUUAAUUAAUGAUUAACAUUCUUUAUAAGUUCAUACACUUUGAAAUUUAAUCAAUGAUUAACCAUGUUGUUACUAUUUUCUCAAGAAGUAACAUAUCCUACAUAAAGUGCUAUGAAAUCAGAAACCCAGGAAUCAUUAAAUAUUAUUAAAAUUGUGAUAUUUUGAAAUAAAAUAUAUAACCUCUUUUUAUUAUUAUUAAUUUUAUUUACACUUUUAUGCAGGUGCCUUUCUGAGAUAGUAGGUCACCUUUGCAAUUUUUUUCUUCUCUAGGAAGGUCAGACAUUAAUCCAUUCCUUUAAAAGGAUUGUUCUUUCUGUUCCUGUGUCUGAAGAAUGCAGGUAACUAAGAUCACUAAAGAUCACCAGAAAAAAUACUAAAAAUUGCUGUCUAUUGUUCAAAAAGCUAUAGUAAGAAUAUUACAGAAGCAUUUUUAAACUGUUUGCUUUUCUUAACUUGCUACUUUUUGUUGUCUCUUUAUUUCCACGAUUCACUUAAGUUCCCAGAAUCUGUUAUUGCCUCCUGAUAAGAUGAUAGGAGCAAAACACAUCCUUGAAGAAAAUUACAUAAAUAUAUUUUUGUGAUAAUUUUUUUAUUAAAAAAUAUAAUUUUUUACUGUAGUCAGAAAAUCACGCCAAUGUAUAAACAUUCAUGUUUCAAUAAACUGCAUGUUUAUUGGUUCUUUCAUUUUCCUUCAUCCCUCCGCCCUCUCAUCUUCCCACUUGGGACUUUCAGACCAUGGUAGCAGUAUAAUAGAUUUUCCAGUUCUUUAUCUCUUGCUUAAAAGCCUGACAUUCCUUACAAUACAUAGCUUCUCAUGGCAUGUCUGCUUCUGCAAAAUGAGCUGGAGGCUUUUUUUCAAAAGGAUAGUCACAAUUGAAUUGUCAUGUGAGCACUUCACUGAAAACUGAGAUGUUUGCAGGUGAAAUAUGGACUAAUUCCCUCUGAUUUCUGUAAUCAUAGGACUUCAUAAAAAUGUGUUGGGAGUUUAAAGAGGAAGAGAAGGACACAUAAAAAUGUGUUGGGAGCAGGGAAGCUGCAAGAAAAGUUGUGAAUUUGUAAAGCCCUUUCCCAGCUGCUUUGCAUCUGCAUAUCCUCAAAAACAUCAUGUAUCUCUAACUUCUUUGUGCUCCAAGUACAGUGGGUCAAAGAACUUCUUGAUGCAAUGGCACUAAAGUAAAAGAAAUUAUUGUACAAGUUGAAUCCAUUUUUUGUUUAUCAUAUACUAUUCCCUCCUAUUUCAUUUGCAACUCAACACUUUCUGAUAAUUUUUAAAAUAUUCUUACUGGAAUACAUAAA